rnacentral:rRNA from 1 species
GCCUGCAGUGGGUACGGGCAGACUAGAGUGCGGUAGGGGAGAUUGGAAUUCCUGGUGUAGCGGUGGAAUGCGCAGAUAUCAGGAGGAACACCGAUGGCGAAGGCAGAUCUCUGGGCCGUAACUGACGCUGAGGAGCGAAAGGGUGGGGAGCAAACAGGCUUAGAUACCCUGGUAGUCCACCCCGUAAACGUUGGGAACUAGUUGUGGGGACCAUUCCACGGUUUCCGUGACGCAGCUAACGCAUUAAGUUCCCCGCCUGGGGAGUACGGCCGCAAGGCUAAAACUCAAAGGAAUUGACGGGGACCCGCACAAGCGGCGGAGCAUGCGGAUUAAUUCGAUGCAACGCGAAGAACCUUACCAAGGCUUGACAUACACCAGAACGGGCCAGAAAUGGUCAACUCUUUGGACACUGGUGAACAGGUGGUGCAUGGUUGUCGUCAGCUCGUGUCGUGAGAUGUUGGGUUAAGUCCCGCAACGAGCGCAACCCUCGUUCUAUGUUGCCAGCACGUAAUGGUGGGAACUCAUGGGAUACUGCCGGGGUCAACUCGGAGGAAGGUGGGGAUGACGUCAAAUCAUCAUGCCCCUUAUGUCUUGGGCUUCACGCAUGCUACAAUGGCCGGUACAAAGGGCUGCAAUACCGUGAGGUGGAGCGAAUCCCAAAAAGCCGGUCCCAGUUCGGAUUGAGGUCUGCAACUCGACCUCAUGAAGUCGGAGUCGCUAGUAAUCGCAGAUCAGCAACGCUGCGGUGAAUACGUUCCCGGGUCUUGUACACACCGCCCGUCAAGUCAUGAAAGUCGGUAACAC